rnacentral:rRNA from 1 species
GAAGCCCCCUUCAAGAUGAGACUUCCCAUAGCGCAAGCUAGUAAGACCCCUCAUAGACGAUGAGGUUGAUAGGUUCGGUGUGGAAGUGCAGUAAUGCAUGGAGCUGACGAAUACUAAUCGGUCGAGGGCUUAUCCAC